rnacentral:rRNA from 1 species
GACCAACAGGGAUUGCCCUAGUAACGGCGAGUGAAGCGGCAACAGCUCAAAUUUGAAAUCUGGCUCUUUCAGAGUCCGAGUUGUAAUUUGCAGAGGGCGCUUUGGCUUUGGCAGCGGUCCAAGUUCCUUGGAACAGGACGUCACAGAGGGUGAGAAUCCCGUACGUGGUCGCUGGCUAUUGCCGUGUAAAGCCCCUUCGACGAGUCGAGUUGUUUGGGAAUGCAGCUCUAAAUGGGAGGUAAAUUUCUUCUAAAGCUAAAUACUGGCCAGAGACCGAUAGCGCACAAGUAGAGUGAUCGAAAGAUGAAAAGCACUUUGGAAAGAGAGUCAAACAGCACGUGAAAUUGUUGAAAGGGAAGCGCUUGCAGCCAGACUUGCUUGCAGUUGCUCAUCCGGGCUUUUGCCCGGUGCACUCUUCUGCAGGCAGGCCAGCAUCAGUUUGGGCGGUGGGAUAAAGGUCUCUGUCACGUACCUCUCUUCGGGGAGGCCUUAUAGGGGAGGCGACAUACCACCAGCCUGGACUGAGGUCCGCGCAUCUGCUAGGAUGCUGGCGUAAUGGCUGUAAGCGGCCCGUCUUGAAACACGGACCAAGGAGUCUAACAUCUAUGCGAGUGUUUGGGUGUCAAGCCCGGACGCGUAAUGAAAGUGAACGGAGGUGGGAACCCGCAAGGGCGCACCAUCGACCGAUCCUGAUGUCUUCGGAAGGAUUUGAGUAAGAGCAUGGCUGUUGGGACCCGAAAGAUGGUGAACUAUGCUUGAAUAGGGUGAAGCCAGAGGAAACUCUGGUGGAGGCUCGCAGCGGUUCUGACGUGCAAAUCGAUCGUCAAAUUUGGGCAUAGGGGCGAAAGACUAAUCGAAC